UAAAUGAUUACUAGCCAUAAAAUCUAAUGAACUCCAAGUGACUCUUCUAAUUAUUUUUAUUUGAAUUUUAUGCUGCAAAUAGUGCUUGAAAUAAGUAAUCCAAAUGAGUCCACAACCUUCAAUUAAUUUGGGGUCAGAAACUUAAUGAAUGGUAUCUAAAAUGGGUUUUGUAAACAUAAAUGUGUUGUUGAUAUGCAAAACCCUUUUACGUAAGUAUUUUGAGUGCUGAGCUUUACAAUUAUUAAUCAGGGAAGCAUAUUCUUAUAGAACUAGACUUUGUUUAUUGAAUGCUAGAGAUAGAAUUGAUGAUGGGAAAUAAUUUCUUUCUAACGUUUUUUAGCGUGAUCACAGAGUAAAGUUGUAUCUAAUAGAGCCUGUUAGGACUGAAGGUAUUCAUAAGUGCUGAGUCUUUUUGUCUGAGUUAGUAGGUUUUAUGAAUGUAAAAGAAAACUCAUCUUAAUUCUUUAAUAAACAAUACGGAUG
rnacentral:lncRNA from 1 species